GAGUUUGAUCCUGGCUCAGAUUGAACGUUGGCGGCAGGCUUUACCCAUGCAAGUCGAACGAGAAAGCACCUUCGGGCGUGAGUAAAGUGGCGGACGGGGGAGUAACGCGUAGGAAUCUACCCAGUAGCGGGGGAUAGCCCGAGGAAACUCGGAUUAAUACCGCAUACGCCCCACGGGGGAAAGGCCGGCUUCUUGAAAGCUCUCACUAUUGGAGGAGCCUGCGUUGGAUUAGCUAGUUGGUGAGGUAAAGGCUCACCAAGGCGACGAUCCAUAGCUGGUCUGAGAGGACGAUCAGCCACACUGGAACUGAGACACGGUCCAGACUCCUACGGGAGGCAGCAGUAGGGAAUAUUGUGCAAUGGGGGAAACCCUGACACAGCCAUGCCGCGUGUGUGAAGAAGGCCUUAGGGUUGUAAAGCACUUUCAGUUGUGAGGAAUAGGCCGGGUUAAAUACCCUGGUUGAAUGACGUUAGCAACAGAAGAAGUACCGGCUAACUCCGUGCCAGCAGCCGCGGUAAUACGGAGGGUACAAACGUUAAUCGGAAUUACUGGGCGUAAAGCGCGCGUAGGUGGUUUGUUAAGUGGGAUGUGAAAGCCCCGGGCUCAACCUGGGAACUGCAUUCCAAACUGACGAACUAGAGUACGAUAGAGGGGGGUAAAUUCAACGAUGAGAACUAGCCGUUGGGCCCCUUGAGGGUUUAGUGGCGCAGCUAACGCGAUAAGUUCUCCGCCUGGGGAGUACGGCCGCAAGGUUAAAACUCAAAUGAAUUGACGGGGGCCCGCACAAGCGGUGGAGCAUGUUGUUUAAUUCGAUGCAACGCGAAGAACCUUACCAUCCCUUGACAUCCACGGAACUUUCUAGAGAUAGAUUGGUGCCUUCGGGAACCGUGUGACAGGUGCUGCAUGGCUGUCGUCAGCUCGUGUCGUGAGAUGUUGGGUUAAGUCCCGUAACGAGCGCAACCCUUAUCCUUAUUUGCCAGCGGAUUAUGCCGGGAACUCUAAGGAGACUGCCGGUGACAAACCGGAGGAAGGCGGGGACGAGGUCAAGUCAUCAUGGCCCUCACGGGAUGGGCUACAAACGUGCUACAAUGGGCAGUACAAAGGGCAGCAAUCCUGCGAAGGGGAGCGAAUCCCAAAAAACUGUUCGUAGUCCGGAUAGGAGUCUGCAACUCGACUCCUUGAAGUUGGAAUCGCUAGUAAUCGCGAAUCAGAAUGUCGCGGUGAAUACGUUCCCGGGCCUUGUACACACCGCCCGUCACGUCAUGGAAGUGAGUUGCACCAGAAGUAGCUAGUCUAACCCUCGGGAAGACGGUUACCACGGUGUGAUUCAUGACUGGGACGAAGUCGUAACAAGGUAGCCGUAGGGGAACCUGCGGCUGG
rnacentral:rRNA from 1 species